GGAUAUAGCUUAAUUGGUAGAGUGCUUGCCUGGCACGCACAAGGCCCUGGGUUUCUAAUCCCCAGUACCA
rnacentral:tRNA from 1 species